CAGCAGCAACAAAUGAACCUGAUGGUGAAGAAGCACCUGAUGACCAAAACUCGUUCAAGUGCUCUUUAGUCCUUCCAAAGCAAGGAGCUUUGGGCCUAAUUUUUUUGGAGUGUGAAGCCAUGAAGCCAAGUGCGAAUCAGUGAAGCCCUACUUAGCAAAGAGUUUUUUUGGUUCUGUAGUAGACUGUAAAUUGUAAUAUUGUAUCAGAUUGUAAAAGACUAAUGUAGUGUUAUUUGAUGAA